CCACCACGCUUCCAGGAAAAGCCACUAAGCUUCAGCCAAGUCAGAACCGUACCGCAAACCGACACAGGUGGGUAGGAUGAGAAUUCUAAGGCGCUUGAGAGAACUCAGGAGAAGGAACUCGGCAAAUUGAUACCGUAACUUCGGGAGAAGGUAUGCCCUUUGAUGUGAAAGACUAGCUCUGUAAGCAUCGGAGGGUCGCAGAGAAUCGGUGGCUGCGACUGUUUAUUAAAAACACAGCACUCUGCUAACACGAAAGUGGACGUAUAGGGUGUGACGCCUGCCCGGUGCUGGAAGGUUAAUUGAAGAUGUGAGAGCAUUGGAUCGAAGCCCCAGUAAACGGCGGCCGUAACAAUAACGGUCCUAAGGUAGCGAAAUUCCUUGUCGGGUAAGUUCCGACCCGCACGAAUGGCGUAACGAUGGCCACACUGUCUCCUCCUGAGACUCAGCGAAGUUGAAAUGGCUGUGAAGAUGCAAUCUCCCCGCUGCUAGACGGAAAGACCCCGUGAACCUUUACUGUAGCUUUGCAUUGGACUUUGAAGUCACUUGUGUAGGAUAGGUGGGAGGCUUAGAAGCAGAGACGCUAGUUUCUGUGGAGCCGUCCUUGAAAUACCACCCUGGUGACUUUGAGGUUCUAACCCAGACCCGUAAUCCGGGUCGGGGACCGUGCAUGGUAGGCAGUUUGACUGGGGCGGUCUCCUCCCAAAGAGUAACGGAGGAGUUCGAAGGUUACCUAGGUCCGGUCGGAAAUCGGGCUGAUAGUGCAAUGGCAAAAGGUAGCUUAACUGCGAGACCGACAAGUCGAGCAGGUGCGAAAGCAGGACAUAGUGAUCCGGUGGUUCUGAAUGGAAGGGCCAUCGCUCAACGGAUAAAAGGUACUCCGGGGAUAACAGGCUGAUUCCGCCCAAGAGUUCAUAUCGACGGCGGAGUUUGGCACCUCGAUGUCGGCUCAUCACAUCCUGGGGCUGUAGUCGGUCCCAAGGGUAUGGCCGUUCGCCAUUUAAAGUGGUACGUGAGCUGGGUUUAAAACGUCGUGAGACAGUUUGGUCCCUAUCUGCAGUGGGCGUUGGAAGUUUGACGGGGGCUGCUCCUAGUACGAGAGGACCGGAGUGGACGAACCUCUGGUGUACCGGUUGUCACGCCAGUGGCAUAGCCGGGUAGCUAAGUUCGGAAGAGAUAAGCGCUGAAAGCAUCUAAGCGCGAAACUCGCCUGAAGAUGAGACUUCCCUGGUGGUAAAACCACCCUAAAGAGUCGUUCGAGACCAGGACGUUGAUAGGUCGGGUGUGGAAGCGCGGUAACGCGUGAAGCUAACCGAUACUAAUUGCUCGUGAGGCUUGAC
rnacentral:rRNA from 1 species